UAAGCUUUAUUUUAUUUAGAAUAGUUAGUUGUUACCUAACAGGAGGUGUCCUACGCCAAGUUUAA
rnacentral:tRNA from 1 species